UGACUGGACAACACUGGGCCUGUUGGCCUUCAGAAAAUUCAGGUAAAUGGUCCCAAUUUUGGGACCCCUUAUCUCCUCUUAUUCUCUAAAGUAGACAGCCAUCGGCGGCCCAUGUCCAAGCAAGAAUACAUAGAAAACCAUUCAACUCCGGUAUCCAGCCAUUUGUGAUUUCUCGACCAUAAACAGUUGAUUGGCCCCGCAGCAGUACAGCCACCCCACCACCUAUACCCCGAGUGAUCAGGUUAUGGCAGGGGCCCUGCAAAUCUCUAGCUUUACCACAUCCUGCAGUCUCGUCAUUAUCAAUUAACACAAACUAGAGCUACACAGUGCAAACUGUGAAGAAAAACAAAACAAAAAAAAACAUUUUGCAAUUUGGAAGCCGAUAUAGCCAACGGCCGGUCAAGCCAAAUCUAAAGGCACAACCUAAUAACACUGAUCUAUGGACUAGAAUGUGGACCUGUACACGAUUAAACUUCCCAAUGGGGCUAGUGUUACUUGGAUCUAUCUUCAUGACAGGACUUCUAAGACUGAAGCCUAUGCGAUCAUCACCAGUAAUCUGCCUUCCUGUGUAUUACAUAUUCUUAGGGUAAAUGUAGUGUUACAUGGCGCCCAUUAGAAUGAGUAGCCAAUAGUGUUGAGCGUUCUUGUGUUUUCAAGAUC